AAGGGCACCACAAGAACGCGUGGAGCAUGUGGCUUAAUUUGACUCAACGCGGGAAAUCUUACCGGGUCCGGACACACUGAGGAUUGACAGGCAAUAUUAGCUACUGGGUUCGCUCAGUACGCUAUGUUAAAUAUGCUAGUCCUUUCAUGAUUAUGUGAUAGGUGGUGCAUGGCCGUUCUUAGUUCGUGGAGUGAUCUGUCUGCUUAAUUGCGUUUCACUAAGGGCCUAUAAUUUAACGUGUGUUGCGGCACUUUGACCCCUCCUUUUGGAGCGCGUGUCUUAGUUUGCUUAGCUCGCACAAUUAGGUCCUGAAAGCAACGAACGUGACCGCAACCUCUUGUUGCCUUUAUACCAAACACGUUUGUUCUGUACCAUUUUGGUCAGUCGCUCGUGCAAAAAGGCCUUUUAAACUAGAGGGACCGCUGUUACUUUCUUAAACCAGAGGAAGGUUGCGGCAAUAACAGGUCUGUGAUGCCCUUAGAUGUUCCGGGCUGCACACGUACUACAAUGAUUAUUGCAGUGAGCAUCUCAUUUUUUACACACCGCAUUCACGAGUCCAUUUAUUCAAACGUCUUCGGGCUUUGCUUUAAAUGUGCAUCUCUGUGAGCGGUAAAGCCUGCUUCGACAGUAAGUGGGUAAUCAAUUAGAAGUAAUGAUUUCCUUUUUUUUUCAGCACACAUAUAUACGGCGUUUAUACCCGGGUUAUCCUUGUUGAUAGCUUUUGUGUGUAUAGAUGUUUUUUCCGUAUGUGCAAUUGUCAAUUCAUGGUGGGGACAGACCAUUGUUAAUUGUUGGUCUCGGUCUUAACUAGGAAUGCCUUGUACGGGUCUUUGGUUCAACAAACCACCCGGAAUACGUCCCUGCCCUUUGUACACACCGCCCGUCGCUCUUACCGAUGGACUUCUCUGUGAGUUUGAGGGACUGGGAACGCAGUGUCUCUUCGGAACGCUGCACACCUAUGGAAACUUAAACGAACAGUGUGGUCUAAAGGAAAGAGAAGUCG
rnacentral:rRNA from 1 species